CUUAGAGACGGCAUGGAAGCUCAGUGCCCCUUUCUCCCAUACCUUGUCCUAGGUAUCUCUUCCACUUGGCUGUUCCUGAAUUGUAUCUUUUAUAUAAACCGGUAAUAUUCUUCGGCUUUUAGACUCUUGGACUUCACUCCAGUGAUCUGCCAGGGGCUCUCAGGCCUUUGGCCACAGACUGAAGGCUGCACUGUUGGCUUCCCUACUUUGAGCUUUUGGGACUUGGACUGGCUUUCCGGCUCCUCAACUUGCAGAUGGCUGAUCGUGGGACUUCACCUUGUGAUCAUGUGAAUCAAUU
rnacentral:lncRNA from 10 species